AGCCUACUGAAUCCGUGCUGAGAUUUCGUCAGAUACCAACCUACUAGGGCUAACCAGACUUCCAAGAUAAGUGAAGUU
rnacentral:pre_miRNA from 1 species